rnacentral:sRNA from 1 species
AUGUGGCUGUGCUAGCAUCUAUUUCUGCAGCCCCGGGUUGGGGCAGGGAUGAGUGGGCGGCCUCCUACCUGCUGCUGUCUUCCAGGGCCUCUGCUGAUGUUUUCUCCACAGUCCUCCUUAGGGCUCAUGCAUUUAUCUCCAGAAGUCCAGUUACCUCCUUGCCAUCCCAAGCUGCCUGCCUCCUGGAUCAGGGCCCACGCCUCAGCAGUGGUCUGCUUCUCCCUCGUCCUGAUCAACACGAGGCUAGCCUGUCAUCCGUAGGCUGCACCUGCCUGUUAAUAUUCCCCCUCAUGGCUGCUCCUUCUCUCUUGCCCAUGUCCCUAUCAUCUUCCCUUUGCCAGGCACUGUGGCCUCCCAUGCAUUAUCGUUUUUAUCCUCUCAGCAGCCUUGUAGGGCAGGAAUGUGAAACUGAGGCUCAGGGAGAUUUGCCAACUCCAGGGGCCCAAAGGUGGCCAACCUCUUGCGGCUAUUUCAGAUCCCACAGAUUAGCUACGCCUCUACCAGUGCCAAGCUGAGUGACAAGUCCCGCUAUGACUACUUUGCCCGCACAGUGCCUC